UAAAUUCCCAGUGCUGUCCCUCCUUACCUGGGAGCCAAAGCAGCAGGAGCCCCAGGAGCUGAGUGGGGAACCUCAUGUCCAUGCUGUGUCCUGACUGGGACUGACUCUUUCACAGGGUGUGAGCAGCCUAUGAAGAAGUCCUCGUGGCAGGGGACUGUACUCUGGGCACAUGCAAAUCAGCUGGUGCUGGAUGGUGCAAGGCUCAGCUGCGGGGCUGGCUCCUCUCACUGCAGGCCAGUUGUGCUCUGGGCUCCCUGUAAAGACCAAGGUGGCACAGAUUUCCUGCAGAGAAUGUGUUUCUCCCUUGGGGCACAGACAGAACCAGGCUGGUCUCCCAUGUGUGGCAAUGCUGGCUUUAGGAAGUGUGGAUAGAACAGGCCUGUGAAUUCAAGGGCAGUACAGCUUUCAGACAUUGGAUUAAACUGGAGAGGUUUGUAACUGGGGUCUCAACCCAGGGCUGAGGUCAGGCUUGUUGUGCUGAGGGCUGCUGGGCUUUGGCCCUGGGCUGUGGGAACCUGGGGGCAACCAGAGGCCCUGCCCAUGGCACUGCCUGGGUGGAAUUCAGAGAAAGGAAAGUGCUCAACCCCUCUGGGUGCUGACCAAGCU
rnacentral:lncRNA from 1 species